rnacentral:SRP_RNA from 1 species
GCCAGGCACUGUGGCACGUGCCUUUAGUCCCAGCUACUUGGGAGGUUGAGGUGGGAGGAUCACCUGAGCCCAGGAGUUCUGGGCUAUAGUGCAAUAUGCCUAUCAGGUAUCCACACUAAGUUCAGCAUCAAUAUGGUGACCUCCCAGGAAGGGGGGACCACCAGGUAGCCUAAGGAGGGGUGAACUGGCCCAGGUCGGAAAUGGAGCAGGUCUCCCGUGCUGAUCAGUAGUGGGAUCGUGACUGUGAAUAGCCACUGCACUCCAGCCCAGGCAACAUAAUGAGACCCCAUCUCU